CGCCUCUGUUUGGAGGUCGACCACUGUGUCAAAGAUUGCCCACACAAAAAGCCAGUCCGGCCGAGGAGCUCAAACAACAAUAUCCCAAGGCCCAACGAUGCUAACAAUUCUAAUCCACACACAAAAAACGACCCCAACAAUAACUCUCAAGACCACGAGAAUAAAAGCACAGCUCUGAACAAUUCACAACCAAUUCAAAAAACUACCUCGAUACAGGUUGAUGCAGAGGGAUUCAUCACAGUAAAGAGGGGACGAAGGAGUCUCAGAGGCCCAUCACAACUUGCCUUUGACCCAGCCCCCAUACACAGUACUGAAGAAAGCCUGAGGGCGAAAGACACAACAAUGGUACAUACCACCACUGUUGAUCAAAACACAGUCUUGCCAGCAAGUUCACAACUACCAAACCAAUGAGUUUCGGCAACAACACCACUAGGUAAACAUCUCACUCCUAACCAAACUUGAAACUACACUAAGCUGAAUAACCUCAUGCCAGUAGACGCCUCCAAUCGAGACCACAGUCCCGCAAUGAAGGAAACCAACACGAGCUCACUGACCAUAGCGGAUCAAGCCUUGCAAAAAGGGCAACUAUCCACAGCAGGGACCACCCUCCCCAGCAGAUUGAGCCAUCCGUCAAAAUUUGCUAAAUCUACACUGAGCGUGAUACCUUCAACGCUCCAGACCAUCCCAAAAAAAUCUAAAGCAAGAAGAUAGUCUGCCAAAUUUUCACCACCGCAACGCGGAGGCAGACCGACACCAACAUUUGGAACAGCAAGAUGACACCGCAACAGGAAUGGGCUGGGGCACCUUCCCUACUUGGAAUCCAACAUCCCCGUAUCCAAAACCUUGCCCACCUAUUGAUCUGAACAUCAACUUAACAACACUGGAGGGGCAGCGUGAACCACCAACGUUUAAAAGAGACAGCUUCACGGAGUGGCAAAUCUGGCGAAGAUUCAACAUGGAAUCCUUGACCUCUUCUAGCUCGCGGAAUUGGAGCAGAAGCAAGAGCCCACCGCGGGGCCAUCCACCCUAGUCAUCCAAAGCCUCUCUCUAGUCGCCGAAAUCAGCAAAGAAAAACACUAGGUACCUCGGCAGCCUGCUGAUGACAUGCACUUCAUUAUUUGCUUUAUAAAUCUAAGGAUUAUAACAUUUAACGUCCGUAUGUUCAAUGGCAC
rnacentral:lncRNA from 1 species